GAUGACAAACUGUUGCAGUAGUACAUUAAAGUAAAUAAGUUCAAAGGGGCGUAACUCCUAGAAAAAAAAUUGAAUCGCAAUUUCCCGUCGAUUUGCACAACUACAUAGUAUGUCCUUAUUAUCUGAAAAGGUUUCGUGAAAUUCUGUUGUGUGGUUUGAGAGGAGUUGCGAUGACAAACUGUUGCAGUAGUACAUUAAAGUAAAU
rnacentral:lncRNA from 1 species